AUCGCCUGCCUUCCAACAGAAGGAUUCCACACGACAUCAAGGAGAACUACACGCGAUGCACUGACCAGUGUUAUACCUUCACAACAGGCCUUGGUUGAUGCAAGCAUCACCUUAGCCUCGCUGCUCAUGUCAUUGAAGGCUUCCAUCAAGGCUUCCCUUUGUUUAACAGGUACAUUGCCACUCAUCAGCAGGAUCUCCUUGCCUUCUGUCCAGUUUAGCUUUCUUGUAAGCUGA
rnacentral:rRNA from 1 species